rnacentral:rRNA from 1 species
CGGAGGGUGCGAGCGUUGUCCGGAAUCACUGGGCGUAAAGGGCGCGUAGGUGGCUUCUCAAGCGCGCGGUGAAAGCCCGGGGCUCAACCCCGGGUCGGCCGUGCGGACUGGGAGGCUCGAGCACUGUAGGGGCGGGUGGAAUUCCGGGUGUAGCGGUGGAAUGCGUAGAGAUCCGGAAGAACACCGGUGGCGAAGGCGGCCCGCUGGGCAGGAAGGCUCGCAAGAGCCGGCUGACACUGAGGCGCGACAGCGUGGGGAGCAAACAGGAUUAGAUACCCUGGUAGUCCACGCCGUAAACGAUGGGCACUAGGUGCCUGGGGGAGCGACCCCCCGGGUGCCGGCGCUAACGCAUUAAGUGCCCCGCCUGGGGAGUACGGCCGCAAGGCUG